GCGGCGAUAGCUCAAUGGGUAAAGCUCACAUGUCUAAGGUUUAUCCGCGCGGGUUCGAAUCCCGCCUGUGGCA